UUUAUAACCGGCGCUCCCGACGACACCACCCACUCUGACGCACGCGCACAGGAGCUGAUCCCAUAACACUGGGGGCAGGACUCUCUCAUCAUCCAUCAUCAUCUUCUUCUUCAUCUUCAUCAUCAUCAUCUUUGACUUGUCUCACCCUUGCUUCAGUGGAUGAUCUGUGCCUUCUGAGAACUGCUUCUGUCCUGUGUUUACAAUCUGCUCGUACUGAACAUGCUUUCAACCGACAUACCUGGGAAAGCUUGUGCACAAAAAAAAAGAGAGAGAGAAUCUGCAAAGUGGCUUAAUAAGAUGGCUCUUUCAUACUAUAUGCAUUGGCCUAUAAGAGUCACAAGCAUAAAGAUAAAGCAGGUUCCUGUUGCCAACAAGGUGCACACAGAAGAGCUAACAUCAUUAACCAGCCCAUUUCAAAAAACACACAAAAGACUUGCCUAAAACAUUUGCGCAUUGAAAAAGAGAAAUGCAUCCGAUCUAAUAAGGAGGACAGCAAGACAAUGACCCAAAACACACUGCCAACACAAAAAGGAAUUCACCAGGGGAAAAAAGUGGAAGGUUUAGACUGGACAUGUCACUCACCAGAUCUUAAAACAAUUGAGAAUGCAUUUCACAGAGGAAACCCCCAAAACAAAACAAAAAAAAAACAACUGAAAGAAGCUGGAGUAUGAAGCCUGGAAAAGCAUCAUAAAAAAAAAGGUUGGUGAUAUGAGUGGGUUUGAUACAGUUAUUGCAAGCAAGGGAUACACAACGAAAUAUUAAGUGUUAUUUACUUUACUUUACGACAUUAAAUUGUGUGGUCUGCCACCAGUGGUGCCGUGUGCAAAGCUGUUUAAUACAUUUAGAUGUAAAUUUCAGGAAAUGAAAGCUGAAAUUCUAAUCUAUUGUACAAUAUUCAUCUUUUGAUUAAUCUUCAGUGUACUGCAUAAACAAAAGAAUUGGCCUUACUAUUCCAAUACUCUCGAAGAGGACUGUAUAUGCCGCUGCUGAAACAAUGUAUGCUGAAAACAAAUACUUCUCAGUAUUCAUUACUGAUUUGUUUGCCUGGUUAAAAGGUGUAGUGGUUUAUAAUGUUUCCACCUGCAUUGGGAUCUUAUGGGAACUUAUUAUACAUAUAAUUCGCUGCAUCAUAUGGUAUAUCGGAAAUCACGUACAUUGCUUAUAGCAGUGAUCAGAAUCAGAUAUGUUUUUUUGUGUAGCUUACUAAGAUGCUUGAGCUGGUGUAGUAAAUCUAUGUACAUAAUAAUGAUCAUUAAAAUGUGCUUAUAAAUCAGUAGUGGGAAUAUAAUUUAGUUCAUUCAGAUGAACAUUUGCCAUAUGUAAGAAACCGUAUCCUCUGCUUUUCCCUCGCUCUGACACACUCAGACAUGCCAGAAGCAUCCAGCCAGGUUGUUAUGACCUCAUGAGAAUAAGAAAUUGGUGAAAAUGAACAGCAGCAACCUUGAUGAUUUGAAAAAAAAAACAUAAAGCAGUUGGUUUCAUACACAUAAAAAAGAAAUGAAAACAAAACAAACAAUUUCCCUGAAAUUUCUUGUAUGCGAAUUCCUCUUGUUCCUUGUUGUGUUAUGAGUCCUGGCUGUUACUAUAGUAACUAGUUUGAUUUUCUCCCUGCUUGCUUCUAUGACUUUACCCAUAAACUGAGGCGACCUUGUGGCUGAGAGACUUACAAAUUGAAAAGUCUUCCUUUCAAGGGCUUCUGUCUUUCUGUCUGUAACUUACAGAGCUUUGG